CUACCUAGCUAGAUAUUGACAGUUCACUGGAGUAAUUUUAAAUAUAAAAAAGGACGAACGAUAGUCGUUGGUAGCUACGACAUUUUCGGCAGAGAAUAUAAAGUUGGCUAGAUAGUUAUUCGUGUGGUUUGCGUAUUGCUGCUUUUCACAGUUCGGGAAGUGAAUUAGCUACAUUUUGUCCACUAUUUUAUUUUUUUAAUGGGGGUGAGAAAUUGCAUCACCAUCUAACUGUAGAUAUAUCACCCGUCCCACUACUUUGGUCCUUACAGAUCCUGGCUAGUUAGUUAAACCACACACGCUAAUAGUAGCUACCAGCUAACGUUAGCUAGCGAACCAAGUUAAUAACAGGAUCAGGAAGCGAACAUACCUGUAUUCAUAGUGUUCGUCGUUAUAUUUGUCUGAGUAGUAGAUUUGUUUGUGUGACAUAUUGCCAAUAAACAACUUUGACAGUAUACACAUGCAAUUCCACUGCACUUUGUCAGAAAGUAUUCCACGGACGUCCCCACUGCUAGCUUCGUUGCAGCACGUUUGGCUAACCGAUUCAAACCUACGGGAGGAAAAAAAAGAAGCCUUUUACCAAGCCACUGAUUGGAUAAAAAGGGAUCACAUGACAAUAAGCCCACCCCUCUCCCCCAUCUCAUCGACUGCCAACCGACGAGGAGGAGAGGUGCGGGGUCCCCGCCAGGGACAUCCUAGACCCAUGCCUCAUCGUGGAUUUCCAAUGCCGACACCCCUGUUAACCAGUGUUAUUAUAACCGGAAGAAUCGGCACCUGCGUUCAGAAUGGAUUCUUCCACUAUUCUGCAAGCCUACCCUGAAUGAGUCAUCCAGCUCGUCUCUUAUUGGAUAAGACCAUUCCAUCCCGAGGGACUGCCUUCCUUGCAGAGAGAGAGAUAGAAAGGCCUUGCUCCAUUCACAGAAACAUUGGUAUGUGAGCCUAGCUGUUUCAUUCACAUAAAGACUAAAUAAUAUUUGCCUUCAUCGUUCUGAUUCUUCUAUCGUCUUCUUUCUCUUGUCUGAUUUAAGAGAAGCUUCUUUUAUCUCUCCUUCCUUUUUUGUUUGCUUUUGUUUCUGAGGAGAAAGCAAACGUGCUUUCCUUUUUUUCUGGAUUUGCCAGGCAGGAAGGCGAGAGAGAGAGAGCGAGAGAGAGAGAGAG